CCACUCACCAUCUGCCGUGCGAAGGGGUCGCCAUCCUCGCCUUGCGUCGACAGCAGCCUGGACCAGAGCGUCACCAGAGCCAGGAAAGUGCCGACGAUCAGCAGGCUGCUUCUGUGCUUGCCUAAACCAUUUCCAUCUACAUUUUCCAGAUCCAGUGAAAGGCCAUGCAGGACUGAGAUAUGAAGAAAUAUCUUCAUGCAGAAGGAAGAAUAUUGUUAAACUGGAAUCCUCUCUUCGGAUUGUUUACCUUGUCGUGGCGAAGAGGCCCCAUGAUUCCAAGAGCGAUGCCGUCGGAAGCACCAGCUUCUGGUAGGGCCACCCAUGACGGUAAGGUCGAGGAUGA